CCUACGGGGGGCAGCAGUGAGGAAUAUUGGUCAAUGGGCGCGAGCCUGAACCAGCCAAGUAGCGUGAAGGAUGACUGCCCUACGGGUUGUAAACUUCUUUUAUAAAGGAAUAAAGUGAGGCACGUGUGCCUUUUUGUAUGUACUUUAUGAAUAAGGAUCGGCUAACUCCGUGCCAGCAGCCGCGGUAAUACGGAGGAUCCGAGCGUUAUCCGGAUUUAUUGGGUUUAAAGGGAGCGUAGAUGGGUUGUUAAGUCAGUUGUGAAAGUUUGCGGCUCAACCGGUACAGGCUCUGGAAACUGGCGGGC
rnacentral:rRNA from 1 species